ensembl:snoRNA
GCCUUGUGGUUCCUGUAGUCAGAUACAAAGUUCUGAACUGUGGGUUUUUGUAAAGAGGCGCGAUAUUGAUUCUGCGAUUUUAUGCAUGGAAGCUGCCACUAUAGCAGCCUUCCAUAGCCCGGUUGCAGAUACAUUG